GACAGAGGGUGCAAACGUUGCUCGGAAUCACUGGGCGUAAAGGGCGCGUAGGCGGCCAUUCAAGUCAGGGGUGAAAGCCUGUGGCUCAACCACAGAAUUGCCUUUGAUACUGUUUGGCUAGAGACCGGAAGAGGUAAGUGGAACUGCGAGUGUAGAGGUGAAAUUCGUAGAUAUUCGCAAGAACACCAGUGGCGAAGGCGGCUUACUGGUCCGGUUCUGACGCUGAGGCGCGAAAGCGUGGGGAGCAAACAGG
rnacentral:rRNA from 1 species